rnacentral:rRNA from 1 species
GACGUAGGUGGCGAACGUUAUCCGGAAUUAUUGGGCGUAAAGGGUGCGUAGCUGGCCUGAUAAGUUAACAGUGGUAAAUCGAGGCUCAACCUCGUGGAAACUGAUAAUACUGUCUGGCUCGAGUACAGAAGAGGUUAACGGAAUUCCAUGUGGAGCGGUAAAAUGCAUAGAUAUAUGGAAGAACACCAAUAACGGCGAAGGCAGUUAACUAUUCUGUUACUGACAUUGAGGCACGAAAGCGUGGGGAGCAAAACGG